UACGUAGGGUGCAAGCGUUAAUCGGAAUUACUGGGCGUAAAGCGUGCGCAGGCGGUUUUGUAAGUCUGUCGUGAAAUCCCCCGGGCUCAACCUGGGAAUUGCGAUGGAGACUGCAAGGCUAGAAUCUGGCAGAGGGGGGUAGAAUUCCACGUGUAGCAGUGAAAUGCGUAGAGAUGUGGAGGAACACCGAUGGCGAAGGCAGCCCCCUGGGUCAAGAUUGACGCUCAUGCACGAAAGGCGUGGGGAGCAAACGAGG
rnacentral:rRNA from 1 species